UUCAGCAGUGCCAGAUUCUCCUUGAAAAGUUAAUUGAGGACUGUGAGCAGCCUUGACCACCCUGAGAACCACAAAGGCCAGAGCAGCAGGUUCCUGUGUGAUGUCCACAGUCCUCAUCUCCAGGGUCAGAACUCAGAGUUCAGUAAAACCUCAAGAUUUUGCACCAAGGAAGAAAACAGACCAUAGACAAUAAGCUAGUUACAGAUUUUCCUCACUUUUGUAAAGAGCAGUGUGCUGUUAUCAAAAAAGAUCACAGCAAGGCUAUGAUUUCAUGUCAGUCUUGUGCCCUCCUCUCUAAGAAAGCUUAAGGCAUCCUUUCAGAUUGAUUUCCUUAAGUGAGCUGGAGAACUAUCACUGCCAAAAAAGCAGUGCAGCCAAUACAAUCUACAAAACUAUCACAUUUUGACAAAGCAAAACAAGUAGAAAUAAGCCUUCAAGCCUUGAAGCAGCAUUGGCUCUGAACAGUGAGUCACAUUUCCCUUUGGGGAGAGGGAGACAGAAAGCCUGGUGUUGUAGCCUUCAGCCUGAUUUGUGAUGCAGAAAGCAAGAGGAACACAGUCAGCCUUGCCUCCAUCUCGAUUUUGUUUGCAUGGCAUGUUCUUAAUUACAGGCUGUUUCAAGAGCUGUGUGCUGUACACAGCAUAUGAUAAACAGAUAAACAUAGCUGGGGGUGGAAAUGGUCUGAUCUUCAGCGUGGAAGAACCUCCAAAAAUUUUUUAAAGUGUCCCACAGCUAGGUAAAUAAUCUCCAUAUUCAGCUGUGUGGAGUAAAGCCCACUACAUUUUUAUUUCCUUUGCAUCCAGAACAUCAAAAUGGAAGAAAUGAGAGAAACUUUGUGUAAUAACUCGAUUCAGAGGCCACUGGGGUGCUACAUUCUUGCUCUGUAGGUGACAACAGAAGAGAAAUUGAGCAGGAUUUCAGAAACGUAAUAGCAAGGAAAGGUGAAAGUCAAGUUGCACCAAACAUUCACUAACUAACAUUAGAACUAAGCAAGCAAUUCCCUCUGAGUGUGAUCUGCACAAAAGUACACUCUUUUUUCUGCCUACAUACUGUCCUGGGAAGGUGUGGUUUUCAUGAAAGUGUAAUUUGGAGUUAUUUUAGUGAGCAGCUCUUUGUCCAAGGGUUCCCACUGGGCCCAUCCAGGGAGGUGUCGACUCAACACCCCUCGAAGCUGCCACAGUCAAGGAAAUGCCCAAAUCCGUGGGGUCUUCUUCUGUCACAGCUACCCAAGUGACCUCUGAGAAUCAGGUCCCACAGUCAAACAGUCCCAUUUCUCAGGGCCAAACUUGCUUGCUGUAAAAUGUCACCCAUCCUCAUUAGAAUUCCCAAACAACCCCCGGGAAAUGCAUCCAGCGAUGUCGCUGAAGUCACAGUCACAGAGGGGUUGUGAGGACACCAAACUAAGUAACAUUCUUCUUAGCCCUGGUGAUUUUUCAGGGAAUGAGCAGCUGAGCUCCUUUUUUAGCACUAAUACUGAAAUCUUCCUCCUUUUCACGUGUGAGUUAAUGGCAGCAGGAGCCACAACCUUCAUCAAGGCCCACAGACAGCCACAAAAAAUAGAAGAGGAAACAUUACUAUAGCUGGUGGCUGCCCAUCUGCCAAAAUAACCUUGUAAUUAGCUUAUUAAAAUUGUUUGAGACUGUCUACCCCGGGGGCUUCUUGCUGAAUGGAAUGUCUAAGAAGGAUUUUCAGGAGGAAUGUAAAUCUAUUCUCUUUGUUUCAUGCGAUGAAAGGGCUUGUUUUUACUGAUCAUCGUUUGACACUCCCGAGUGUUUAAAUAGUCAGAAGAAAGUAAGUAUUUUUAAAAUCUCUUCCAAAUUCUUAAAAAGAAAGAUUUAUGCUCAUGGAAAGUUUGCUUUAUAACAACACGAAGUCCCUCCAGGAUAAGUAGUCAGCAGGCUGAAGUUGAGGAGGAAGAGCUCUCCCCAGCACAAAUAUCCCCUGGGCAUUUAAGCAAUCUUUGCUCCACUGAGCAGUCAUCAUUUUUAGUGAAUGUUUGCUCAUUAUUUCAAUCAAAUGAUGGCAACUCCUGGAAGAUCCACUUAGCUAAUGAGUACUAAUAAGAGAGUUACUGUGCAGAAUUGUAUCAGAGACUGGAAUUUGUCAGUGACGUGCCUGGGGGACACCACAAGUGAGGGUUGCUGUGCCACCAGGCAGGCAGGGAUGGCAGUGACUCAACUUCUCAUUAAGUCUUAUGCUUCAAGGGCAUCUCCCUCUCUUCAAAUCUGAAGCAAGUCACAGUCCACACACUCAAUUUUCUUCUCCCUCACCACUGAGCACAGAUAAACGUAAAUGCAUCUGGCCUAAAAUCCUUCCAUUAAAAUGCCCCCUGAGGCUACAGGAGAGGCCUAGGAGGCAUAUUUGGCUCGACUAGAGGAAGCAAAUGUAAUGUUACAGGUUACAUGUGGCACAAGAGGGUGGUGUGGUAAAACUGGAAGGCAACAGCCACUUGCAGGACAGAAAUGAUGCUGAAAAGGCCCUUUCUCCUAGAGGAGUGAUGAGCUAAGCCUCAAGCUCUCUGUCUAACAUGUCAGAGAAUUAACACAUCAAAUGCAGCAUCAAAUGUCUGCUCUGCACCUGGAAACCACCGUGGGCUCAGGCACUGCAGCUCUGGGGUAUUUUCCUGGCAGUCAGCUCACAGAAAGGGGAAAACAUUAUGCCAGGCUUUCCUUAACAGACAAGCAGGAAAGUCCCCACUGUGUCCCUAAGGCACAGAGCUUUCACAUGGCCUCUGCUGAAAAGUUCCCUGUCAGGACUUAGAAACCACAUCCCAGACACUCUGGUUUGUUUUGCCCUGCUCUGAGCACCAUGACUCAGCAGCUGGCUCUGCAGAAGUGCACCCAACAACCACAGCUGCACUCAGGUGAUGUCCUAAAACAGAUCACAGGAUCACAGGAUAUUCUGAGUUGGAAGGGACCCACAAGGAUCAUCAGGUCCAACUCUUAAGUGAAUGGCCCAUAUGGGGGUUGAACCCACAGCCUUGGCUCUCAGAGAAGCAAAAUCCUCCCUUAUUUUACAUACAUUUCACCUUGCAGUUUUAGGAACAAUAAUCUUAGGUUUAACUUCUUCCCCACUGCAUCUCUUGACACAUUGAACUGAGCAUCUUCACAAAACAUUUUCCUGACCUGCUAUUUUGAUUUCUAGAAAGCACCAUUUCUGAACUUACUCAGCUCCCUACACUCAGGCCUAGGGCUGGCUGCCAGGGCUGGAGCUGUGGGACGUGUCUCCCCGUCAAAAUCUGGGUGUGAUUCCCCCACAACAGAAACCACCAGAGCACCAGCAACGGCCCAGAAGGGAUUGAGCCUUUCCCCCUUUUAGAUUCCUGAGAAACCACACGAGAUUUGGCACAGGUUGCAAGGAACAUCAGUUGGGCUUUCUUAGGAACAUCUCCCUAAAACACGAGAGGAGGAUGUUUGGAGCUGAGUUCCCAAAGAUCCCGAGACAGGAGCAGCAGGAACAGCCGCUCUCCCCACAGCUACUCACGUGGUGAAGGCGGGGUUGUACUUUGCACCAAGGUAGUAGGAGUAAAGGUUGAACAUUCCGAUCAUGAAGGCGAGGAACACCAUGAUGAAGAUGACCAUGAACUUGAAGAUAUCCUUCACAGUCCUGCCCAGGGAGAUCUGCAGGGGGCCGAAGCUUUCGUUGGCUGGAAGAAUGUAAGCAAUGCGGGAGAAGCUGAGUACCACAGCUAUGGCAUAGAGGCCUUCUGAAAUGAUCUGGGGAUCCGAGGGGAGCCACUUGUUCCUGGCUAAAACAAUACAUGGACACGGGGUGUUAGUAACAAAGAGUGGUAGGUGGAAGCUAUCACCAUAAAUGACCCUUUUCUGCACCAAAUCUUGGCUUUGGCCAGGAUUUAAAGACAAAAAAACCCCAGCUUUGGAACAAUUGUGCACUGAAGUCCUCAGCAUGUUGGAGAAUUAGUGAGUUAGUUGUGUUUUUCACGUGGUAAAGAUGAGAAAUGAACAAGUCACUGGGAUUCACUGAAGCCACACAGCAAAAAAAUAGCAUGGCUUUAAACAAACUCGGUAUUUUCUGUUUGUUGAAUGUCAACUGUGCUGUGCCUUUUCCACGUGAAGCUCUGGAGAUGGACAACCAAAAGCACAAUGCAGUGGAGUAUAGCUAUAGAUUUUAUACAGGGCACUGUGUCAGUAUUUGGGAAGGGAGACUGAGAUCUCUAUCCCCACCACUGGAUAAGAAAGUUAGGAUUUGUUCAGGUAAAGCAGAUAUAUAUGUAUAUAUAUAUAAAUAUGUAUAAAAUGUAUAAUAAAAUACAGAUAAAAAUGUAUAA